AACAGUAGCAGCAAAAAGCACAGGAGUAGUCUGUUUUUCACUCAUUCAGCUGUGUCAGCAUCAGGUUUAUGCUUGACAAUUUCUCAAACAGGUGUGUGUUAGCCAGAGUGAUGUCAAUCAACUAAAGGUCUCAAAGCUGAGAGACAACUUGCAUGGGAAAAGAGCAACAGAAAAAUCUGAAACAUCAGGUCUUCAUUGUUUUGUUUUGCCCUUCUCUUCCAUAGACAAGGUAGGAAAAGUCUGCCAUUACUGAAUAUAUUCAAUACUACCCUGAGAGAAGAAAUGAGGUGCUCAUGGGAAAAAAGUCAAAUAUAUGAUUGUUGCUUAAUUUAAGCUUGGUGGUCAUUUUCAUAGCCAGUAUAAACUGACAGAGCCUCAGUAUUUCAAACAGACUGUACCUUUUUUUUUUUUUUCCAAGACCUCUAAUGAUAUCAGAAGCUAACUCUGCCAUGGAAAAG
rnacentral:lncRNA from 1 species